AUGCCUUGCGUGGCGCACGAGUGCCAUCCCAGGCUCCCCGCCGCUAACCACUGCAGGUCCCUCUCCUGCCUCGGCACCCCCGCCGCCGGGUGGAGCUCCGGCGACGACGACCGCGAGGAGGACGAGCUCGACACGAAACAGGUGAUACUGAACGAAAUGAGGAACCGGGAGAUGAGGAAGCGGUCGUCCAGGUGCAGCGUGGACUCGCCGACUCUGUCCGGCGCCUUCGCCUGGUCCUUCACUCCGCUCCACCCGAGAAGCUCUAUCGAGAAGGUCUCCUGUACUGAGGAGGAGAAGGAGGCGGCGAGUGACAGUGACAACGAGAGCGAGGCGUUCUUCUCGGUGAAGAGCUUCUUCACGCGCAGCACGAGCCGGGCGGCGACCGUGGCUUCGUCGACGGACAUGGACCCGCCGGCGACGUGGGAGGGCUUACGGGGCUGCGAGGGGUGGCCGUUCGGGCUGUGCCGUCGCCCCGCCGUGCCGCCGCUGCCCAGCACGCCGGCCGACUCUUGGAAAUGGCGCAAGCGGAGCAGAAACCUCGCCGAACACAGCCCGGCUCCGGCUUACAGCUUAAAGAUCACUACCAGUUAA
rnacentral:rRNA from 1 species